AUACGGCCAUAUCGCAUUGAAACACCCGUUCUCGUUCGAUCACCGAAGUAAGCAACGUUGAGUCUCGUCGGUACUCACAUGGGUGACCGCUGGGCAAUGCUACGUG